rnacentral:rRNA from 1 species
UACGGAGGGUGCGAGCGUUAAUCGGAAUUACUGGGCGUAAAGCGUGCGUAGGCGGUUGAGUCAGUCAGAUGUGAAAGCCCUGGGCUUAACCUGGGAACUGCAUCUGAUACUGCUUAGCUAGAGUCUGGUAGAGGGUAGCGGAAUUCCCGGUGUAGCGGUGAAAUGCAUAGAUAUCGGGAGGAACAUCAGUGGCGAAGGCGGCUACCUGGCCCAAGACUGACGCUGAGGCACGAAAGCGUGGGGAGCAAACAGG